rnacentral:rRNA from 1 species
AUUGAACGCUGGCGGCAGGCCUAACACAUGCAAGUCGAACGAGUGGCGGACGGGUGAGUAAUGUCUUGGAAACUGCCUGAUGGAUGGGGAUCACUACUGGAAACUGUAGCUAAUCCCGCAUACCAUCCGAUGUGACCAGAUGGGUUUAGCUUGUUGGUGGGGUAACGGCUCACCAAGGCGACGAUCCCGAGCUGGUCUGAGAGGAGGACCAGCCAAACGGGAACGGAGACACGGUCCAGACUCCGACGGGAGGCAGCAGUGGGGAAUAUUGCACACAGGGGGCAAGCCGUAUGCAGCCAUGCCGCGUGGAUGAAGAAGGCCUUCGGGUUGUAAAGUACUUUCAGCGGGGAGGCGUUACCCGAAGAAGAAGCACCGGCUAACUCCGUGCCAGCAGCCGCGGGAAUUC